rnacentral:rRNA from 1 species
UACGUAGGGGGCUAGCGUUGUCCGGAAUCAUUGGGCGUAAAGCGCGUGUAGGCGGUCCGGUAAGUCCGCUGUGAAAGUCGGGGGCUCAACCCUCGAAAGCCGGUGGAAACUGUCGGGCUAGAGUACGGAAGAGGCGAGUGGAAUUCCUGGUGUAGCGGUGAAAUGCGCAGAUAUCAGGAGGAACACCAAUUGCGAAGGCAGCUCGCUGGGACGUUACUGACGCUGAGGAGCGAAAGCGUGGGGAGCGAACAGG